rnacentral:tRNA from 1 species
ACUUCUAUAGGAAAGCAGUAAUCCAUUGGUUUUAGGCACCAAAAAUCUUGGUGCAACUCCAAGUAAAAGUA